UCAAGAUCUUACGUAAAAGUGGAAUCCACGACACCAUCCUUUUUAUCUUUCUCCAUUUUCACCAAAAAUGCGUCUACGAAAUCGUCACCUUCCUCGCUCAUUACA
rnacentral:snoRNA from 1 species